rnacentral:rRNA from 1 species
UACGGAGGAUGCGAGCGUUAUCCGGAUUUAUUGGGUUUAAAGGGUGCGUAGGCGGGAUGCCAAGUCAGCGGUAAAAAUGCGGUGCUCAACGCCGUCGAGCCGUUGAAACUGGCGUUCUUGAGUGAGCGAGAAGUAUGCGGAAUGCGUGGUGUAGCGGUGAAAUGCAUAGAUAUCACGCAGAACUCCGAUUGCGAAGGCGGCAUACCGGCGCCCUACUGACGCUGAGGCACGAAAGCGUGGGUAUCGAACAGG